rnacentral:sRNA from 1 species
GCAGAACUAGUCGAUUUUCCUAUCCAUUCCAUGUUUCUGAACCGCGCAUCACUCUUGACCUUCAACCUGAGGGAUAAAUUACCAUACUUACCGCUUGCCCUUGAGAUUGACACUUUUUUCGGUCUAUAAGUUGAGACCAUAUAUCAGAGAAUUAAUAAACUUUCGGAAAUGCUUGGUUCUUUGAGGGUUGGGAGACACUCGACAUCAUAUUCCACCACUAGGAUUUACCAUAUACUCUGAGAAAUAUGAAAAUGGGAGAUCGAAAUCGCCUUUGGAGAACUGAACACAGAGAGUCCCAUAUGCUGCUAGCAGCUUUGAGGAAAGCGAAUCCAUCAGAAGUGAACCCUUGCGAAAGGACACAAUGUAAAUGGACAGGAGGUUAGGGUAGUCCGAGUAUUCAUCAAAAAAAAAUAUAACAAAGGACAUAGGUGAAUCAUACCGCCGCUCAAAUGGGUAUCACAUCGGCGGAAAAAUCCAAUAAACUUAAAAAGAAAAAGCAUGCGCAGCAUCUCCUUGGAGAAAAUAUACUAUAUCAUGACACACCGUCAUUGCACCCUGCUAGUUUUGAUGAUGGAACGGCCCUCAAAGGGGAGAAAAGCCCAGUCAAGAAUAAAAUGGAAA